GUUUGCACUUAUCGGGGAAGGGUGAGAAUCUUCGAUUAAGGUUCGACUCGAGCGAAAGCGAGAGAACGUUGCCAACGGCAACGGCCCGUAGGGUGAGGAGCGAAGCGACGAAUAAUCCUUCCCCCACCACCA
rnacentral:sRNA from 1 species